rnacentral:rRNA from 1 species
GGAAUAUUGCACAAUGGGGGAAACCCUGAUGCAGCAACGCCGCGUGAAGGAAGACGGUUUUCGGAUUGUAAACUUCUAUCAAUAGGGAAGAAAGAAAUGACGGUACCUAAAUAAGAAGCCCCGGCUAACUACGUGCCAGCAGCCGCGGUAAUACGUAGGGGGCAAGCGUUAUCCGGAAUUACUGGGUGUAAAGGGAGAGUAGGCGGUCCGGAAAGUCAGCGGUAAAAGCCCGGGGCUCAACCCCGGCGAGCCGUUGAAACUGUCGGACUAGAGACGGCGAGAAGUACGCGGAAUGCGCGGUGUAGCGGUGAAAUGCAUAGAUAUCGCGCAGAACUCCGAUUGCGAAGGCAGCGUACCGGCGCCGGCCUGACGCUGAGGCACGAAAGCGUGGGUAUCGAACAG